AGAGAACAGAAGAGGAAGGGUGGCAAGAUAGAAGGGAAGGAAGGAAAAAGGGAACAAAGGAAAGACUAAAAGGGGAGGAAAAAUGGAAGGAUACAUUAUAGAUUUGAGGCUUUAGCACUUUGUAACCUUUGUCAAGUUCUUAAUUUGACUUGAGUAUCAGUCUCUUCAUCUGAAAAAUGAGCAUAAUAAAUCUGUCUCAAGCCAGGGAUUUUGUUAAGUGGUGCCACCACCUGCCUCGCAAGCACAAAGUCCUGAGUUUGAUCCCCACUACCAAAACAAAAACAAAACCCGUCUCAUUGUAAGGAUUAAAUAUAAUGUAUGGAAAGUCCCAAGAACAAAGUCAGGUGUGGUGGUAUACACCUGUAAUUUUAGCUCUGUGUGGGAGGCUGAGGCGGGAGGAUCCCAGUGUGUUUGAGGCCAACCUGGGCUACGUAGUGACGUCGAGGCCAGCUUGAAUACAUAGCAAGACCCUGUAAAUGAAUAAAUAAAUAACUAAAAUUUUUUUAAAUCAGGAACAAUGCAGUCACCUACCUAACUGCCAGAUUUUUGUAUUUCCUAGGGAAUGUCUUGUAGCACUCAAUAACAAGUUGUUGGUUAUAUUAUUAUUGCUAUUGUUUUUUCCUCUUUAGUAGAAGGUUGGACACAAACUGAGCUGGAGGUGCCACCCAUUAUUGGGAAGAAGAGGAGGAAGAUAAGGAGGCUCGGGCCCUUGGAUCAUGGGUGGAGGCACUGACUAGAGGGAGCCUCGGCCCUUGCGGGCUUCACCAGGGGAGCCCAGUGCACUGCCUGACUCACACACACCUGACACCGGGGAGCUUAAGGGGUCCCCAGUGGGAACGGAGGGCUUGACUCAGGAAUGCUUACACAGCGAGAUGAGGUCCAACCAGGAAAAAUAAGAUGAAAAUUUACAUAAAAAUUGUGUUUAUAUGAAACAACUUCCAGCACAUUAAAGCAAGACAUGCAUGCCAAAAAGAUGCCAAACUGUCCACAAGUGAUGUACAUGUAUGCCUAGGAUACUGGAAAAGAGAAAAGCAUGAUUUCAAAGUGGAAAGAUAACAUUGUCUUGGAUCUGAGACUUCUGAUGGGGCUCUCCUGUGCCCCACAUACGUGGUCAUCACUGUGCACAGACUUGGAAAAGGGCAGCAAUGUCUGGGACCAGAGGCUGCACCACACACGCGUGAGUUUACAACACACCUCUUAAACUGUAUAUGACUGGAUUCAAUCCAAGUAGUAAUGUCUUUGAACCCAGGGUUUUAUCUAAAUCGCAAGAGUUCCGUAAUGAUGUGUGUAAAUUGGCUAAUCCAAAAGAAAUGUAUAAAGUUUAAGAAAGUUAAAUGGAUUGAUUUCUUAUCAUCCCUGGCAUUGGAAUAUAUAACAUCCUUAGAGUCACAGUAAAUCUGUGCCACGAGAACAGUUCCACAUAAACGCAGAUGAGCAUUUAAACCACAUACAUGUUAAUGAUUGCUGUUUGGGGCUUUUCUGCCAAAUAAUUGUAACAAAGCAAAACAAAAGAUUGCCAAGUUGAUAGGAUUGCUUAUGGCUUAUGGCUCCUUGGGCUGGUAGAACCUGAUAAAAAUGAUGUUUUAAUCAUUCUUGGAAGUGAGUAUGGAACUGUAAUAGUUCACAGUACUGCAUGCUCAGUAGAUCCAUGCAUGCUUGCAUGGUGCUGGGUGAGUUUUGUUUGCAAGUUUGUCACAGUAACUUGGUGAAGUAAGUGCCUUUGUUUCCCUAAGAGGUUCGUUUACUUGUCCCUUCCCCCUGCUGGGUGGUAAGAGGUCAAGUGGGCAUUUGAGCUCAGGUCUGCUGACACCAGAGCCCUAUUUGUCAUCAGGGUGCUGAGUGCUCUCAGCUUAGAUCAGAACCUGCCUGCGAGUGGGAGGUGGGAGUAGGGAAGUGUUAGUCAUUCAGAGAUAGAGGAAAAGCAAUUUGAGAAAAUGGGUUUGUAUAUAGAACUAGGAAAUGACGGUGUGGAGAGUUUUGGUGAGCUGAAUCAAUGACCUGUAUUUGACUGUUACAAUUCUGCCAAGGGCCGUUCUUUGUUGUCAGUUAUUUUUAAAAAUCUUAAAGACCCAGGGAUUUAGCUCAGUGGUUCUGCCGCCAGCCCCACAAGCACAAGGACUGAAGUUCGAUCCCUGGUACCAAAAACAAAAAAUCUUCUUAAAGAGUCUAAGGUUAGAUCCUUGAGAACAGGUGAGAGGAGGAGAAAAAGUAACCAUUGAAACAAAUGAGUGAGGAGUAAGUAGAUAAAUUAGAAAAAUAAUCUGCAUGGAUUUUGAGGUCCAUUAAGAAGGGAUUGAAGCUGAGUUGAAGCAUUAUUAAUAUUUUUAAUAUUCACUGUGUAUUUGGCCAGUGUAGACACUGCAGCUUUUUCUGAGUGGGCCCUGUGUCACAGGGUAGACAUGGAGUGGACAAAAUGUGGCUCCCUCCCCAGCAUGGGAGCCCUGGGUGGUGCAGUGUUAAAUGGAGAUAGCUGGGCCUCACAGUCAGGAUAGGGGAGUGUGGGUGGCACCUGCUCCCCUGCAAUGGGCUUAACUCUCAUCAGUUAUGUGUGUAAGAGCUAAUAGUUAAAACUCCCAAAUAGGAAAAAAAACCACCUCACUAUCUAAAUGCAGCGUUCCAGUGUGAGCACCUGAAUUAGCAGUGCUGUGGAGGACAGCUUGCUUUCUCUUGCUGGGUGUGUGUCUUAAUAUGCAUUGAUGACAUGGAAGCAGAUCACAGACGGAUCACUGGCCCCCCACUAACGUGAGCCCCCUCUCCCCAUGGCUUUUGUUCCCCUACUCCCCAGUUCACUCCCAGUCACCAUCUUUAUUCUGUGCUUCUUUGAUGGCCCUUAGGACAGUUUGUGACUAUUUCAGUGUACCCGAUCUUGGUGUCACCCCCAGCUAAAACAUAAGCUCUACAAAGGCAGGCACCAUCUUAUCAUUUUGUUCCCAGGUAGAUUCCAAACCUACUGCCAUGGUGCUUAAUAUUUGUUAACUGAACAAUGCAUACAUGAAAUGUCCUUCUCACUAACCUAGAAUAAUAAAAAACCCCAGUACACUAUUGAAAUAUCAUACCCACAGAUCACCCAAAAUCUCAAGGAGAAUUUUUUUCGUAUCGUGACUUUGAGACUGUAAUAGAAUUCCUGUGCAUUCCGGUCUGUAAGUGGGCUGCAUGCUGGGGUUCAGGGUCGAGGACUGGCCGUGCAGGACAGCAGGGAGAGAGGAUCGCUCUGGAGAAGGCGGCUUCUGCGUGGGCGGGUGACCAAUCCCACGGGCGCUUUCUCCAGCACUGACCAGUACACUUCACCAAAACUGAAAAGGAAGCUGUUUAUAGCAUCGCAAAGAUCUCAGACAUAAAGUCCCCACAAGAUAUUUUCACAUUUUAAAGAAAUUGAGAAUCAGAAAAAUUAAAUUACACAAAGUCACCUCACUGAUAAUUUUAAAAUCUUAGCUAUAAAAUCAGAUCUUGUAAAUUGAACUUGAGUGAGUUUCCUAUUAAAACACAAAGUAACUACUUGUUUUUAGAAUGAAAAUAUCAUUUUAUUCCCCAAGCUAUAUAAAUGCUAUGUGAAAGUUUUAUUGCUCUAAAAAUUUAAAGACAACAAAACAAAUUAAAAAACUCAGUCUUGUCUCUUGUUAUAUAAGCUAAUCUAAAACAUUGUCAUAUAAAGUGACCUAAAACAUUUUAAAUUAUCUAAAAUGCAAAGAAAAUCUUGUUCUUGCUUCUAAAAUCUUAGAAAUAUUGUAUACUUGUAGUUCAGCUGGCUUGUUUAUGUAAGGGAGAUUUUUUCCCCUUGAGCAUUAACUGCAGGAUGUGCAAGCAGUGUUCAAUGUUAAAUGUCUUUUAACCCAAUAAUAUAAAUUUUGGGCUUGUACACUGUGGGUUAUUUCUCCUCUGAGAUCAUCUGCUUUCAGUAAUUUUUUUCACUUUUGGAUCAAGUUGUCACUUGAGCACUUUGGAGUAUAUCUGGACUCAUCUGGUUUUGCUCUCCAUUUCUUAUCCCCUUGGAAUUACAAAGAUCGUCAGUUUGAUUUCAGUGUGCAUCUGAUAUGUGACAAGAUAAACAGUGCUGGGUUUGCUGGGCCCACAUUGUACUAGUGUCACCCUCCUCUGACAGAUGGCCAGCGUGGUGUCUGCUUUAGGAGCAUCCUUCAUUUGGAACUGCUUCCUGCAUCAUUGGUUUAUUGCAACUGGUAGUGACAUGGUUGGAAGAGUAACUUGCAAAAGCAGAUGACAUGAUGGUAUAAUUUAUACAAAUAAUUAUCCGUACACAGGCACACUGCUCAAAUGCAGAAAUAAUUUCUGUUGCCUUGAAAAAUGGUGGGGGGUUUAUGGAAGAUCCUUGCUCACUCAUGGCCUAAUUCAUUUUCUAUUACAAUAAAUUCAGUAAUUGUAGAAAAAGUCGCACACCUGCUUCCAUUUCUCGUAAUGGCUCUGCAGGUUGGACUGCAGCGUGAGUGAAAAGAUGGUCUGUUUUCAAAGCCUUGGCAGCCUGCAGUGACCUUCAGGAGGAUCGAGAUGCUCCGCUGGCUGGAGAAACAAUGGGGCAGAAGCCAGCGAGGCACAGCAGAUGCAGCGUUAUACUUCCCAAGUCAGAAGUGGUUAGCAGCAGCUCAGGGGAGGAGGAGGAGAAAAGGACCUCCCUCUGCAAGAUGUUUCUAUGCAAAGAGUAAACAUGGGUGAGAAAAAAUUUCAGAGAAGAAAAUAUUUGUUUUUCACUCUCUUAUAAAGCUUACUGCACGCACAAUAUCUAGACCAUGGACUGUAACCUGUUGAAAAGCAUGCAGGGAAAUAAAACUGGGACCUUUUCAUAGCAUAGCAUAUGGAAGAACUUAUAGUGGUCAUACUAUUUUGCAAUUAAAUUGUUUUCUGUGCAAAGCAUUAUAUUUAUUAUGAAAUGCAUAUGCUAUUUGUUCAAGUUGAGCAUGAUUAUUUGCAUUUUUGAUAAUGUAUGAGAAUAAUGUAACAAGAGCUGUAGGAGUUUGUUGACUAACUAAAAUGACCUCAUAUAGCUGUGUCUAGGAUCUAGAACAGAUAAGGCAGCACAAAUCUGAAAAUAUAUUUUUUAUUUUUGUAAGGAAUGAAAAGGAUUGCAGUAGACAGGGAAUAGAUAUGCCAUAUACUAAUAGUUUUAUUAAAAUGCUUAUAAAUGAUGUUAAAAUAGUUAUAAAACUGUCCUAACCAUGCAUGUUUGCAUGGUCUACACAUGAACAUUUAUCUGCACAAAUAAAAAUUCCCCUAAACCCACAAAUGCCCUGUUGUUCAUAUGUUGCCCAAAACUUUUAGGUUCUUAAUUUUACAUUAAAAUAUAUCAUUGUAAUUACAUUAGAACUAGGAAUAGUGGGGGAUAGAGACAAUAUAAUAUCAUAACAUUAAGAAUUUCAUUUUACUCUUACUUGAAAAAAAAUUAUACUCCUAGGUGGUUUUGCAACUCUCAGGAGCUCUUUCCUUACUUGUUCUUUACAGUUAGUGACCUACAUAAAAUCUGUGCUGAGUCUUCAAUCUGAAAUCUCUGAGUGCUCAGCAUAAAUAACACCUGAAGUUUUAGGUUUCUGUGUGCACAUACUGUCUUUCUAUAAAAAACACAGGUGUAAAAGAAAAAGAUGGAAAGGAUAUUCAGUUACUUUCGUCCUUCUACAUAUUUUUGACCAUCUUCACUUGGAAAUUUGAUGAAACUUGGCCCUGUCUCCAGAGUUAAAAUAGAGCAUGGACACAGAAACAUACUGUAUUUCAUUUCAGAGUAUUUGCCAACUCUAUGAAUUUCCAAGGAUUUCUCGGACCCAUGGAAGCAAAUAAAAAAAACCUCCUUUUUGUUUUUUGCAGCAAAUUGCUCAACACACUAAACUCCAUACCAUUAAAUUGUGAGGCAUAUGCAUAGACUUUAUCUUUAACAAUGGCUUUGUGUCCAGCUUCCAUCAAGGCCACCCUGCUAUCCCUAAGAUUUUGUUUCCAGUGUCUCAUCUCAGGAGUCAUUUCUGUCCACUCCUAAGUGUGCCUCUGAACAGCCACAUCAGCCUCAUUUGAGAAUGUGUUAAAAUGCAGAUUCCUGGGACAUUGGCCCACAACUACUGAAUCAGAAACCUGGGAAGGGAUCCAGCAAUUUAUUUAUUUUAAUUAAGAAGACUUGCAGGUGGUUGUGAUGUGAGAAACCUCCUUGUUUCUAAUCCCCAUAGCCAAGAAUCUAUUUUAAUUAUUUGAUUAAUAUGUGACUUACAUAUAAUAAAGUACACACAUUUUUAUACAUACAUUUUGGUGACUUCUGACAUAUCUGCAUACCCCUUCAUCAACCACUGGAGUCAGGAUGUUGAACAUUUUCUCCAUCUCCCUGGAAAGUUUCCCUAGGUACCUUCACAGGUAAUCCCCACGACCUGCUCUUCCAGAAAUUUGAACUCCUUUUCAACACUAUUGAUUAAUGUUGCAUGUUCUAGAACUUCAUGUAAAUGCAAUCGUAUAGCCUGUAUCUGCUCUGUGUAUUUGUUUCAAAUUUACCCAUCUUGCUGGGUAUCAUGAGUUUCUUUCUUUUUAUUGCCAAGCAAUGACCCAUGGUAUGACUCUAUGACAGUUUUUAUCCAUUCAUUUGCUAUUGCACAUUAGGGCUGGUUACAGUUCAGGGUGAAUAUGAAUAAAACUGCUACGAACAUUCUUUUAUAGUCUUUUCGUGAAUGUAUUUUUAUUUAUUGUAAACUAGAACUGUAACUGCAGGACCACACAGUCAGUGUACUUGGAACUUUACAAGGCCGCCAAACUACUCUCUGUAGGGCUGCUGCAUUCCCAUGAGAAACACUUAACGCUCUGGCUUCGUCGGCGUCACCACCAGAAUUGGAUGCUGUCCGUGUUUUGUUGUCAUUGCUAUUUUUAAGUGUUUUCCCUUGCAAUGACUGUGGUUUUAAGUUUCAUUUCUUUUCCUGUGUUUGUUGGUCAUGAUGAAGUGUCUGCUAAGUUAUUUUGGCUAUUUUUAAUUGAGUUGAUUUUCUCAUUAUUAUUCAAUAUGAUGUGAUAUACAGGCCAAUGUUUUUUGUUUUUUCCACAUGGAUACAUAGUUAUUCCAACGUAUUUGUUGAAACUUCAGUCAAGUAUUUGUCUACUUUUCUAAAAUAAUUUGCCCUAGUUUUUAAAGUUUAAGGUUCAUAUCCAUUAUUCUUAAAUUUUGGACACUGGCUCUAUUAGAUAAUAAUGGUUUGCAAACAUAAAAAUACAGCUUUCAGUAUUCAUCUAAAUAUAAAUAUUAGUCUAAAUGUAAGUAUUAGUUUGGCCCAAAUUUCAGUAGAAAAAGGAAAAGACAAAAAAUGCCAUUAGGUAGAAUCUACCUCGCUGAAUGGUGAGUCUGCACUUUUAAGCAGCAUCUCAUUUGUUAAUGAAAAAUGUUACUCAGUGGACAAAGAUUAAACUACCACUAGCUUUUCGAUGCUAAAUUGGAAGUAAAAUGACUUAAAUAAUGAAGUACUUAGUAAACUAUGUAUUGAUUUGUUAUGGCCACAGAAAAUAGCAAUUUUUAAAAUAGCUUUAUUUUUAUAAUGUUAUAAUAGAAAGACAUGUUUAUUUACAAAAACUGAGAUGUAAUAGAAAAACAGAGUAAUUAAAAUCAACCAUAAUUCUCCGAUUGUUAACUCGUGAUGUGUUGCUGUGUGUUCUUCCAAAUGUACUGUCACAAAAAUCAAAAUGGAAACAUUCUGUAGUUGUAAUUGUUUUCCUUAGAUCUCUUUGUGUCUUAGUAAAGAUUGGAAUAAUACAAGAUUUUAUUAUUUUACAGUCAUAAGUCUUGGAUAACCAUUUCUCUAGGGAUGAACAAACACGUUUUAUUAUUAUUGUUCUGUUUUGCUUUUCAUUGCAAACACUACUGUUAACAGCCUGAUAUGAAUAAUUUCGCAUUCUUGUCUAUUUUAAAUGGCAGUAUAUCUUUCAAUGAAUGAAAUUGAUAGUUCCAUUUAUUUUUCUUUUUCAUUUUUUCUUUCUUUUUUGAGGCAGGGUCUCACUACGUAGUAGUCCAGGCUGGCCUUGAACUCACUAUGUAGCCUAGGCUGGGUUUGAACUCAGUAAUCCUCCUGCCUCAGCUUCCUGGGUGCUGAGAUUACAGGCGUGCGGCACCACGCCUGGCUUCAUUUCUUUUUUAAUGUAUUUAUUCUUCAAUUUAAACAUUCAAUUUUGGUGACUUUGGCUGUGUCAGCAUAUUUAACCUACAGGGACAUUUACAAUCUGAAAGUAAACCAGAAAGCUGCCAAACCUUGUAUUUUUCCAGGGUUUUUGAAGACUUUAAUGAGUUUAUGUGCAUGGAAAUAGAUAAAAAUUUCUGCUAAACUUUCCUAUUAUUGAAAAUUGUGAGAAAUAUAGUCCUAUCAUUAAAUAUUAAUAUAACAAACAUUUAUUGUGCACAAGGCCCUUUCUACAUACAAAAGAGUUGAAAGAAAAUGUGAGGUACUAUGGAGGAGGAGAAAAAACUAGUAAGUAAAAUUUUCUCUUUUAUCAGAGGCAUUUGUUUUUAAAUUUUACCUUUUGUAAUAUAACUGAAUUUCAAGUAUUCAUAUGCCAUUUUAGUAGCAGUUUCUUACUCCAGGGUACUCAUGUAGCUUACAGGUACAUUAAUUAUUUAAUUUCUUUUCCCUCUGGAAAAAAGAAAAAGUCUGGAAUCCAAAAUUUUUUCUUACACAACUGCCUGUCCUUGGCCACUGGCAUGCAGUGGAGCAGGUCUUUCCUCCAUUUAUGGAGUAUUGUAUAAUAAAUGCGCUGAGCACCCUCAAGCAGUUUGCAACCUACCUGGGACUUGAAGACUUGAAAGUGGUUUAGCCAUGAGAAGGUGGGUGCACUGUUAAACCUGUCUGCCACAGAGACUGUGCCUCAGCUUCUCCUGACCGUCUCAUCCUGACCCCCUGGCCCCAUCCUCUAUGAUUCGGGGCAAAGUUCAUUCCAGGCUGGGGAGAUUCCUCAGGAUUUGUGCUCUGCACAGUCCCCGUAAUGCCUCAUGAAGGCCUGUUCAAAAGCGUGACUUGGUGUGAAUACAUAUGGAGAGCUUUUUCUUUAGAUUAUUAUGUUUACAAAGCAGGGCUGGGAGAAGAGCCCUGCCAGGCAGCAUUUACACAAACUUUAUUUUUAGUUUAAAUUGUUCAAUGAUCUUUGACCCAGAGACAAAUGUAGUACUAGUCAUUGUUUUAUGCCUCAUAUUAAAAAGCAAAAAAAAAUUUAACACAAAGGAAUAUUUAAUAUUUUUAGCCUAAGAUUACUACUUAAUUCAUUACACUGAGUAAUAUAUUAGAAAAAUAUUCCUGCCUGGAAAGAAUAAAGUCCUGAGUUCGAUUGCAGGUAUGGGGAAAAAUAUACAGCAUUAGAAUAAUAUUGAUAGGUUUGAUUGACAAGUCACUUUCAUAGAAUUUUUCACCUAUUAACUGGGUAAAUCUACAUCCUGGGAAACUCUAUUUGUAUUUUAGGUAUCUUAAAAGUUUCAUUUAUUUGAUACAUAUCGUGUUGGAGAUUUCAUUUCCUCUGGUGCUUAUAAAUGUAUACUGCUAAGGAUUUUUUAUAGUGUGGGAAGUGAAUCCACAGUCCCCAGCGUCCGCUAGGUUCCUUAUAGAAAGCCAGCUUCCACAGGCCCGUCUUCUUUAUCUGUGUCUGUUAUCUCUGUUGCAGUCGCGACAAGGUGGGUGAAUGGUUCUCCAAGAAUCAGGAGCCACCGCUUUGUGAGCAGUGCUCUUUUCUGCCUCCUUCCUGCCAGCUAAUGUCACUGCUUCCUUAUCUUUCGCUUCUUUCCUACCUGCCUGACUCACAAUGCUGGUUGGUCGUCAGUGACAGCUGUGUCCCAACUGCCUGGGAGCAAGAAUGUCUCCAUGGACAUUUCGCAGUUUUAUUGGCAGUUUUAUUGGCAGGCGUGGAGCUGUUGGGAAAAUAGCCUCACAAACCUGUUUUCUCAUGCACUUCUUACCUGGAAUUUGCGUCAUUCUGCGACUGGGAGGCAGGGCGUCCAGGAGUCUCCGGUUCUAAGUGAAAACACUGAAGGUGCUAUUAUUUUCUGUAUUUAUAGUUAAGUCUUCAGUGAGCUGUGCAGUCAGUGAGGGACUAAACUAUAUUCCACUGUGACGGCAAGUCAUCAGGGACAAGAAUAUUAAGUCUAAGGACCUAUGACCUAAAGAGACUUUUUAAAAAUUCAUUUUUGAAAAAAUUCAGUUUACUCUUAAUAUAUCCCUAUACUUAUUAGCAUAUACAUUUUCAACUUAAACUUUUAAUAGGCAUUUACUUUAAUCAGUUUUAAAUAUUUUUCUUGAAAUAAAGACUUCAAUAAAUAUUAAUUACUUAGUUCCUCCAUAUGAGCAAUGUCAGAAUAUAAAUUUCCCCUAAUUAAGUGUAGUCAUCUGCUUUCUAAAGCAAUCACUUCUUAGCACUCAUUAUGUGACUCAAGUCAUUAAAUUUUUAACUGUAUCAAUCUUACCUCAAAUUGAGUAAUUCUUACCUUAUGAAUUUCAAUAUUAUAUGUACCAAAAUCAUCCAACCCUCCAAAUAAUUGUAAUCAAAAAACAAUAUGAAACAAAUAAGAAUUUCUUUAAGAGUAAACUUGAAUUCACCUCACACUAUUAUUAAUUAAAAUGAUAAUAUUCCAAAUUUUCUUGGAUAAGUUAGUACCAAUAUUUUAUUAUCCAUUAAAAGAAAGGAAAUCACAUCUCACUAGUAAAUACCAAUUCAUCAGCUUUUGAAUUUAAAUGCAAAUAUUUUCUACCUCUUACCUUUGCAAAGAGCUAAAGUAGAAAUUGCAUAUGCUAUGCAUUACAUUACACAGGCUUAAAAAGUCAAUUAUUUUUAGCACUAGUCUCUGAAAUCUUAUUUUAGAUCAACAUGAAUGAAUUCAAUUUUUAUCCUACUUUAUAUAUUAAAUUUUACUACAAUAGUAAAAUUCUCAGACUUUUUUAAUUUAAAAACUAGGAUUUUAUUAUAGUUCUUAGAAAUCCCUGUGUAAUUUUCAGUACAUUACUACAUGAAUAACAAAGUACAAGUUGUUCUGAUAUACAUACUUCAAAUAUGACCUCUAUUUUUUUCAUAAGGAACAGACAAUUUUUCAUAUAUUAUUAAACCACUGGUAUACUGAGUAGUGAUGAGGAGGAUGUCUUAGCAAACUUACCCUAGACCACAGUAUAAGGAUUCAAUACUAAAGUUGGGUAUUUCCUCUCAGUACCCGAAAUCUUAAUUUGGACCUUCUGUACUAACAGUAAUGGAUAUCCAGUUUUCUCUAAUCAUGACUUGGGAUUUUUUUGCUGAACAGCAACAUAGUAAGAUCCUUGUGCUGCUCCUGCUUCUGCCAUUACUUGUACAGAGCACGCACACAGACACCACCAAGAGCCUACAAGUUGCUGCCAUUGCUUCUACUGUAGUGGUCAGAAUCAAAUUUCAAGAAAAACAAAGACGUUAAAAUGCACUCAGAAAAAAGUAAUAUUUUUUCUAUCAUUUGCUCCUUAAGUAUGGUAUAUUAAGCAUCUAAGACUUCUCUUAAUGAUUGUGAUUUCUAACUAAAUCUGAAGUAAGUAGGGUUUACUAGAUUUAGGACUCAUUUUAUUAAACCCACUGGAUUCCUAUGCUAUAAAGCACCUAAUACAUUUUAACUUGAGUACUCAAAUAACAUCUCUCAAGUAUAACUUUUGAUAUGACUAUGUAUAUAUCUGGUGGAACAAACACCCCAUACUUCUCUCCUUUUUUCUAACCUGGGAAGUGAAAAAGUUUUAAGUCUAUAAUCACAUUGACAAGUAACAAUUUAUAACAAGAACAUAAGAAAAAACACUACAAACAUACGAUCAACGAGCUCUGAAAUCCUCUAGUCACUGUGAGGGCAGUCUUAAUAUUAGGAAGGUGCUCUUUGUUCUAUUCACUAUGUUCACAUUUGAAUUGAUGGUGUAAAAAUCUAGUGAAUAGCACCAAACUGACUGCCACGUAUUCAUGCUAAGAGAAGGAGUAGGAAAAGGAGGAAUAAGACAGCUUUAUCUGGGAAUGUGCUUGAUAAAGCAGUCAACGUUACUAAUUCCAUUAAACCUGAAUCUGUGAGUAUAGUCUUUUUGAUAAGCCAUGUGUUAAAAUGGGAAAAAUGCAAAGACAUUCUGCACUAAAAUACAAAGGUAGGCUUACAGGAAAAGCUCAUAUGGAUUGUUUGAGUUGCUAGCUGAACUAGCCACUUUCAUGAAGCAAAGGUAUACUUGAAAGAAAGAUUAGCAGAUAAGCUAUUGUUAUUCACAUGUGGAUAGUCUACAGAUAUUUUCUCAAAGAUAAACAAAACAAGCCUGUCAUUUCUGGAGAAACAAGUAUAGUAUUUAUUUCCAGUGACAAUAUUAAAAAUUUCAAGUAACACUAUUGGAAAUUUUAUAUAUGCCACAGAUUUCCAAUAUGUAAAGACUCUUCUGAUGAGAUAACUGGCAAUAUCACUAAAUGUAAUUUUUGGAUAAUGAAAUGUGUCAACAUUUGGAAGAUCUUCAGAACUCAGGGCAAUAUUUUCCAAAUGCCUUGUGCAUGAUGUGAAGAUUUAUGCAUGAUAAAUGAUCCAUUCAAAGUGAAAAAUAGACCAUUGAACUUUAAUGUAAUAGAGUACAUUUAUGUGGUUUGAGAUUCCACAUUGCAGUAAACUUUUGAGAAUCUGUUACUUGUCAAGUUUUGGUGUAAUAUUAAAGAAAUACACCCACAAUUAUCUGAAAAGGCUAAUAAAUUACUUCUUCCUUGCUCAACUACAUAUCUGUGUGAAACCUUUUUUAUUUAUGUCAACCCAGACAAUAUAUUGCAAUAGAAUGAAUGUUGAAAUAUUUGUAAAAAUCCAGCUGUUUUGUAUUAAGCCAGAUCUGAAAGAUUUGCAAAAACUGUAAAACAACAUCUCUCUUUUCACAAGUCUUUGUUUUGAAAGGGUCCUAAUUUUUAUAUUGACAUUGUUUAUGUUACCAUGUAGUAAAUUGGUCCAUUAUUUCUAUUUUUAAAUGGAUCAAUAUUUUCAGAAACUCUUAGCUUAAAUUUCUGGUGUGGUUAAGAACUGUACAGGUAGAGCCUUAGGUUUGUAGCUCGGAUAGAAGCACAUAUUUAUCCUAAGUGAGGCUCUGAGUUCCAUCUAUAACAGUACAAAAAAAGAAAAAAAAAUAGAUUUAAGUUAUAUAAACAAAAGUUUCAGAAGCCAAACAUUGAGAAUUGCUUAUAUAAAUCAUCAGAUGAGUAUGCAACAAGCUGUUAAAAUCUAAAAUGAGGCUUAACCACUAGAGGGAGCUUUUAUUUUAUAUAAAUGUAUAGCAUAGAGGCAUUAAGAAUUUGCAUGAAAAAUGUAAGACUUCUAUGAUAGCAGUAUUAAAUAUAUAACACAAAGCUUUAUUAGAAUCCUACUGCUUUAUUUCUUCAGUAGCCCAGUAGACAAAAUGAAAGAAUUUUCUUCUGUAGUCAUAAUUUUUCUGUGAAUACUAUGGUUAAGAAAAUUAGUUUUACAUUUUAGACAUUCAAAAAAAUCAUGGAUCCUUAAUAUAUGAUACCAUAUGAAAAGAACUCAAUGGUUUUUCUUCUGCUUAUAAAUAGCAGGGCAUGAUGUGAGUCUUUCUGUUGACUGGCCUUUGAGGAAUUGCUAACUGAUUACAAAUCAGUCAGAGACACUGCUGAGAUCUUGCAUAUCUCCCAAGAUGCUUGCAUUAGUCACAGGGAGAUGGCUGUCCAUGUGAAAGUGGUAACUAAAUCCUGAGUGAUUUAUGUCUACUCUGAGGUCCACAGAAUCAUGUCACUACUGCAUCCUGCCAUCCCUGUGGUUUGAUGAACUCUUUUAAAUGAUACCCAUUUUUAUAAUAAAGUUUAUCUUUGUCUUCUUGAAGUCUUGAUAUGAAAAAAUCACAUAAUUCUUAAGAGAUGGGGAGACUGGAUGAAGAUAUGGGUUUUUUAAUAAAAUGGAGUACUAUUCAGCCAUAAAGAAUGAGAAAUUAGAGGCAUUUAUAGCUAAAUAGAUGCACAUUGAGGCAAUACUCUUAAGUGAAAUAGGACACACAUGUGUAAAUAAGUGAAAUAGGACACACAUAGUUUCUGUGGUGUGAGAAACUGAAGGUGUAAAUAAGGAACAAAAUGUAUAAUAGAUAAUGUGAAAUAGGAAGAAACGGUGCAAAGGUGAAGGGGAAGUGUGAGGGGUACAGGAAAGGAAAGGGGAAUGGAAUUAACAUAAGAAAAUGGAAAAAUGGAAAUACAGUGUUUGUAAAUAGGGAAGGGUGGAGGGGUUGAAGGAAGGGCAGGAUAUGGGGAAAAAUAAGAAUCAAGAUAUAUUAUGUAAAGGUACAAAUCUUCUAAUGAUGAAUGUCAUUGUAUUGUAUACCUAAAAUGCACCAAUAAAAUUUUUUAAAAAAGGGAGAUGGGCAGUCUCAAUAAAGCUGUUAGAUUACUUCUUUAGAAGGAAUCGUGUGCAUUAUUAUGUGGAUUUCAUAAAUACUCUCAAAUGAAUAGUGUUCUGGUAAAACUAAAGCUCAGCACGUCCAAAUUUGCAGCAGCUGUGUUGUUACAAAUCCUUCAGGAUGCUUGUCCCCUGGUAAGAUAUCAUAUGC
rnacentral:lncRNA from 1 species